rnacentral:lncRNA from 1 species
UCCGAGUUGCUACCCCGCGAUGACGGUGGUUUUCCAGUUGUCUGAAGAAACAUUCAGCACAUCUAGUGUUCUCUGAAGAAUUGUACAAAUGUUGAAGCGUGUGCACUGAGAUUUAUUUUCUUGUUAGUGUUGCAUCCAUUCAACUCCCGUGUAGUUUUUGGAUGGCGAAUUGGUGUUGAACAUAGUGGAGAACCAGAAGCAUCUUGUUGCAGAUUGUGUCAUGAGAUCAAGAAGGCAUUGUGUAGCCAUUUUGCUAACUGCAUGUUCCAGCUCGCAUGUACAUGAAGUAAUGUUUUGCUGAGGCUUGACCUUUCUUAAUUUCUAGUCUUGCUUGUGAAGAUUGUAAAUUGAGCUCAUGUUUAACAAUAU